AUGCGAGUCAAGGGGCUCUUCGGAGCACCGGCGUACGGCUCAGUAACAUGUGGGUAACCUACCCUCAGGUGGGAGAUAACCUCGGGAAACUGAGGCUAAUAUCCCAUAGAUAAAAGAUACUGGAAUGUUUUUUUAUCGAAAACUCUUGUGCCUGAGGAUGGGCCUGCGUCCGAUUAGGUUGUUGGUGAGGUAAUGGCUCACCAAGCCUACGAUCGGUACGGGUCGUGAGAGCGAUAGCCCGGAGAUGGGGACUGAGACAAGGCCCCAGGCCCUACGGGGCGCAGCAGGCGCGAAAUCUCUCCAAUGUGUGAAAACAUGAGAGGGGUAUUCCAAGUGCCCUUGUUUUGCAAGGGAUUUUCUUUGGUCCAAGACGCUGAAGGAAUAAGAGCUGGGUAAGACCGGUGCCAGCCGCCGCGGUAACACCGGCAGCUCGAGUGGUGGCCACUAUUAUUGGGCCUAAAGCGUUCGUAGCCGGGCAGGUAAGUGCUCUGGUAAAUCCCAUAACUUAAUUAUGGGGCUUCAGAACAUACUGCUUGCCUUGAGACCGGGAGAGGCUGGAGGUACUUUCGGGGUAGGGGUAGAAUCCUAUAAUCCCGAAGGGACCACCGGUGGCGAAGGCGUCCAGCCAGAACGGGUCUGACGGUGAGGGACGAAACCCAGGGGAGCGAGUCGGAUUAGAUACCCGGGUAGUCCUGGGCGUAAAUGAUGUGGGCUAGGUGCAAAGCUACCUAAGCGGUAGCUUGGUGCCGAUGGGAAGCCGUUAAGCCCACCGCCUGGGGAGUACGGUCGCAAGGCUGAAACUUAAAGGAAUUGGCGGGUGAGCACCACAAGGGGUGGAGGCUGCGGUUU
rnacentral:rRNA from 1 species